GACGAACGCUGGCGGCGUGCUUAACACAUGCAAGUCGAACGAUGAAGCUCUAGCUUGCUGGGGUGGAUUAGUGGCGAACGGGUGAGUAACACGUGAGUAACCUGCCCUUUACUUCGGGAUAAGCUUGGGAAACUGGGUCUAAUACCGGAUAUUCUGCGUGAUCGGAUGGUUGUGUAGGAAAGAUUUUUUGGUAAGGGAUGGGCUCGCGGCCUAUCAGUUUGUUGGUGGGGUGAUGGCCUACCAAGACGACGACGGGUAGCCGGCCUGAGAGGGCGACCGGCCACACUGGGACUGAGACACGGCCCAGACUCCUACGGGAGGCAGCAGUGGGGAAUAUUGCACAAUGGGGGAAACCCUGAUGCAGCGACGCCGCGUGGGGGAUGACGGCCUUCGGGUUGUAAACCUCUUUCAGUAGGGAAGAAGCGAAAGUGACGGUACCUGCAGAAGAAGUACCGGCUAACUACGUUGCCAGCAACCGCGGUAAUACGUAGGGUACUAGCGUUGUCCGGAAUUAUUGGGCGUAAAGAGCUUCGUAGGUGGUUUGUCGCGUCUGCUGUGGAAACGUGCCGCUUAACGGUGCGCGUGCAGUGGGUACGGGCGGACUAGAGUGCAGUAGGGGAGUCUGGAAUUCCUGGUGUAGCGGUGAAAUGCGCAGAUAUCAGGAGGAACACCGGUGGCGAAGGCGGGACUCUGGGCUGUUACUGACGCUGAGGAGCGAAAGCAUGGGGAGCGAACAGGAUUAGAUACCCUGGUAGUCCAUGCCGUAAACGUUGGGCACUAGGUGUGGGGUCCAUUCCACGGAUUCUGCGCCGUAGCUAACGCAUUAAGUGCCCCGCCUGGGGAGUACGGCCGCAAGGCUAAAACUCAAAGGAAUUGACGGGGGCCCGCACAAGCGGCGGAGCAUGCGGAUUAAUUCGAUGCAACGCGAAGAACCUUACCAAGGCUUGACAUGCACUAGACCAUCGCAGAGAUGUGGUUUUCUUUUUGACUGGUGUACAGGUGGUGCAUGGUUGUCGUCAGCUCGUGUCGUGAGAUGUUGGGUUAAGUCCCGCAACGAGCGCAACCCUCGUUCUAUGUUGCCAGCACGUGAUGGUGGGAACUCAUGGGAGACUGCCGGGGUCAACUCGGAGGAAGGUGGGGAUGACGUCAAAUCAUCAUGCCCUUUAUGUCUUGGGCUUCACGCAUGCUACAAUGGCCGGUACAGAGGGUGGCGAUACCGUGAGGUGGAGCGAAUCUCUUAAAGCCGGUCUCAGUUCGGAUCGUAGUCUGCAACUCGACUACGUGAAGUCGGAGUCGCUAGUAAUCGCAGAUCAGCAAUGCUGCGGUGAAUACGUUCCCGGGCCU
rnacentral:rRNA from 1 species